rnacentral:tRNA from 1 species
AAGGGUAUAGCUCAGUGGUCAAGCACGUGCUUAGCACGUACCAGGUCCUGGGUUCGAUCCCCAGUACCUCCG